rnacentral:tRNA from 1 species
GUUCCUGUUGCGCAAUGGAUAGUGCAUUGGACUUCUAAUCCAAAGGUCAUGGGUUUGAAUCCCACCUGGGAUG